rfam:Moniliophthora roreri MCA 2997 sctg_0109_0001, whole genome shotgun sequence.
UGCCCCAUGGCUGAGUUGGUUACAGCGUCCGACUGUUACGAUAUAAGCAAUCGGAAGGUCGUGAGUUCAAGCCUCACUGGGGCAG